UACGAAGGGUGCAAGCGUUACUCGGAAUUACUGGGCGUAAAGGGUGCGUAGGCGGUUCGUUAAGUCUGUCGUGAAAUCCCCGGGCUCGACCUGGGAAUGGCGAUGGAUACUGGCGAGCUAGAGUGUGUCAGAGGAUGGUGGAAUUCCCGGUGUAGCGGUGAAAUGCGUAGAGAUCGGGAGGAACAUCAGUGGCGAAGGCGGCCAUCUGGGACAACACUGACGCUGAAGCACGAAAGCGUGGGGAGCAAACAGG
rnacentral:rRNA from 1 species